rnacentral:rRNA from 1 species
CCCUGCCCUUUGUACACACCGCCCGCCGCUACUACCGAUUGAAUGGCUCAGUGAGGCGUCCGGACUGGCCCAGAGAGGAGGGAAACCACCACUCAGGGCCGGAAAGCUCUCCAAACUCGGUCAUUUAGAGG